rnacentral:rRNA from 1 species
GAUGAACGCUGGCGGCGUGCCUAAUACAUGCAAGUCGAGCGAACGGACGAGAAGCUUGCUUCUCUGAUGUUAGCGGCGGACGGGUGAGUAACACGUGGAUAACCUACCUAUAAGACUGGGAUAACUUCGGGAAACCGGAGCUAAUACCGGAUGAUAUUUUGACCCGCAUGGUUCAAAAGUGAAAGACGGUCUUGCUGUCACUUAUAGAUGGAUCCGCGCUGCAUUAGCUAGUUGGUAAGGUAACGGCUUACCAAGGCAACGAUGCAUAACCGACCUGAGAGGGUGAUCGGCGACACUGGAACUGAGACACGGUCCAGACUCCUACGGGAGGCAGCAGUAGGGAAUCUUCCGCAAUGGGCGAAAGCCUGACGGAGCAACGCCGCGUGAGUGAUGAAGGUCUUCGGAUCGUAAAACUCUGUUAUUAUGGAAGAACAUAUGUGUAAGUAACUGUGCACAUCUUGACGGUACCUAAUCAGAAAGCCACGGCUAACUACGUG